GAUGAACGCUGGCGGCGUGCCUAAUACAUGCAAGUCGAGCGAACGGACGAGAAGCUUGCUUCUCUGAUGUUAGCGGCGGACGGGUGAGUAACACGUGGAUAACCUACCUAUAAGACUGGGAUAACUUCGGGAAACCGUAGCUAAUACCGGAUAAUAUUUUGAACCGCAUGGUUCAAAAGUGAAAGACGGUCUUGCUGUCACUUAUAGAUGGAUCCGCGCUGCAUUAGCUAGUUGGUAAGGUAACGGCUUACCAAGGCAACGAUGCAUAGCCGACCUGAGAGGGGGAUCGGCAACACGGAAACUAGGACAGGGUCCAGCUUCUACGGGAGGCAGCAGUAGGGAAUCUUCCGCAAUGGGCGAAAGCCUGACGGAGCAACGCCGCGUGAGUGAUGAAGGUCUUCGGAUCGUAAAACUCUGUUAUUAGGGAAGAACAUAUGUGUAAGUAACUGUGCACAUCUUGACGGUACCUAAUCAGAAAGCCACGGCUAACUACGUG
rnacentral:rRNA from 1 species